CCCUUAUGUUUAGAGAAGCAGCAUAAGCCUUCUUUAUCAUUUUGCUAAUGUCUUCUUUCUUACUCAUUUGAUCUGUUUCCUGGAAUUUAUGUGAUUCUUCUUUGAGAAGACAUUCUUUGGAGCUUCCUGAUUUCUUGUUCUAAUGUGGACUCAUUGCUUUUUAGGUCUGCUGUACAGCUGUGUCCUUGGAAUUUCUUUUCACUGGACUUUUGGGAAUCUUUUCAUGUGGGAAAGGAUUUUAAAAUGUCUGCCCACUGACCAUUUUCACAGUAGAGUAUCAGUUCUCUUUCUCUUCAGAUCAAGGGAUUAUAAGCAGCGUGUAUAUAUGUAUAUUUACAUAUGGUUUAACAGAAGAUGAAAUUGCAACUAUUCUUAAAUCUACUUUGAAAGGACUAGAAUAUUUGCACUUCAUGAGAAAAAUACACAGAGAUAUAAAAGCUGGAAAUAUUCUCCUCAAUACAGAAGGACAUGCAAAAUUGGCUGAUUUUGGAGUGGCUGGUCAGUUAACCGAUACAAUGGCAAAACGCAACACUGUGAUAGGAACUCCGUUUUGGAUGGCUCCUGAGGUUAUUCAAGAAAUAGGCUAUAACUGUGUGGCUGACAUCUGGUCCCUUGGCAUUACUUCUAUAGAAAUGGCUGAAGGAAAACCACCUUAUGCUGAUAUACAUCCAAUGAGGGUAAGAAAAUGAUGGUUUGCUAAAAAUGUUGAUGUUAUAUAAAUUUUGCAUUUUUGUAAUGUGAGUGUAAAUAAAUAAAUACAAAUUAAAUAAGUUGAUUUGGAUUUAGGUUCUGUGCAAAAAACAGUAAAAUUAUCUGUUAAAGGUUAGCAAUAUUAACUUUUCUCCCCCCACAUCCUUAAUUGUGAGAAAAGAAGUGAAGGCUAUAUGUCCCUCUACAGUCACCAUUUUCCUCCCCCCAAACUAUAUGUGUAAAAUAUUCCCUUGCUUUUCAGUAGAAGAAAGGGUUGGUAAAUCCACUAUAUUCUUUAAUCCAUCCAUUGUUUUCUCAGUGCAGCAGUAGAGGCCUUGGAAAAAUCAUUUCUCACUUUUCUACCCACCCUGUGGAUUCUACCUUUCUGUGUUUUUGGUUUUCCUUUUUUUCUUCUCUCAUCUGAAAUUAAUAUUUAAAAAUCAUGAUUUCUAGUAUUGCUAUGUACCUGUAAGCAUAUUAACCUUAUUUCUUUAGUUGUCUUAGUGAGAAACUGGAAUUCCUUUUUUGAACAUUAUUAUACACUUCUGUGAACUCCCUUUUCCAGGAUGAUUUUUUUGAGUUUGAAGUAUGUACCUUACAUAUUCAAGUCUAAUUGCCUGUGCUUCAGGAUUUGUGAUGAUACAGUUCUUAGGUUUUUUCAUAUGUGAAUCUCAAUUCAUUAUUGAUAAGUACAUCUGUGUUUGUGAACUUAUUGCCCUCUAGUGGCUGGAAUCACCUCAAGAAGAAAAGAUAGAAUGAAGAGAGAGAGAGAAAGAGAGAGAGAGAGAGAGAGAGAGAGAGAGAGAGUGAGUGUGUGUGUAUAGAGAAGAAAACAUGGCGUCAGGCUGACUGGAGAAAUGUGUGAAGUAAAUAGAUGGGAGGAAAGAGAAUGUAGUAUUUUGGAACAUCUGAAGAAGAAUAAAUUGGAAUUAAUUUCUGAUAUACAGUAUUGUGGAUUGAAUUUCAAUAAUAUAAGUAAUAGUGUACUGUGCUGAAAAUAUUUAAAAGUCUGUCUCCCACUUUAAAGAGAAUUCUUCGAGUAAUAAAAUUAUAUAUAAUAUGUAUCAUCUUCCUGGUGUAUAUUAAUUUCUUUUAAGAUGAAAAAUAAAAAUGACAUGAAUUGUUCGUUUGCAAAAUAAUAAAAAAUGACAAGGUCAGCAUAAAACCAGCAACACAGAUUCUCAUUUCUUUUCUGAUUAUUAGUUAUCUUUAGUACUUUUAGUUAUGAUGUUUUUAGGGUGAUCCUCAAACUAGGUGUAUUUGAAUUUGAGUUAAUGAGGUUAACUGAAUUACCCAAGGCAACCUAGCCAGGUGCCAGAGCUGAGAUUUAACCUAUGACUUAGAUUAUUACUGUUCUGUUUCCUCCUUGUGUAGAUCUUAUUUUUCUAACCACAAAGAUUAACAUAUUAAAUUUGACCCUGAAGUCUGUCUGAUAAUAAAUAAUUGUAAUAUGUGGUUCCUGACUUCUAGGAUCUUAAAGUAUCAUUUGGCAGUUUGAAUUAACACAUGUGAAAUAGCAAAAAUAUACUUGAAGACAGUAUUUCUCUUUAAAAUUCUGUCUAUCAAUCAUCGGUCUAUCUCACUUUUUUCCUACCAGUCUAAAUCCUACUCAUUCAAGUCUCAGCUCAGAUAUUAUUUCUAUAUAGAGCCUUCCUUGGUAGCCACCACCUAAGUAAAUUUCUUGUUUUCCUCAUAAUUUGUAUAUAGGCAAUUCUGGGCUCUGCAAGUUCUUUGGACAGUUUAUCAAGUGUCACCUUGUGCAUUUCCAAACAGUAUGGUUUUAAGUUGCUACUUAAAUUAUGUUAUCAUUAUUUAACUUUUCUCAUGUUUGUGAACUGCUUUGUACAAAUGAGAGUAUGAACUGCAAGUACUGAGAAGCUGUUAAGGUCACGUGGUGGGUACAAGUUUUCCAAAGCUUGCAUUUUAUCAUUGGCGGCAAAUACGAUAGUUUCCUUGAAAUGACAGAUUCACACGGUUCAUUUUUGAGAAAAUGUCAGUCCUGUGUCCAAGUCUGAAUUGCCAUCGCUUGUCUGUCAGUUGUUCCUUAGUAACAAGUUGCAGCUUGUUUGGCUUGCAGUUCUGUCACACAAGUGCUUUUCCUCUAGAUAAUCACCGUUCUUCUGUAUGCGAGGCAAGUGCUUUGUGUGCAUUUCUCAUUUUGUCAUAAAGAAUAUUAAAAAGGUAUGUAUUCAAGGGUAGAAUUUUGAUAAAAUUAAUAGUAUUUACUGCUCAUCAAAGUUUAGUUUGGUGGGAGGUUGGGUGGGAGGAAAAAAGAAAGAGCUGUCCAAGAGAGAAAAAAGGAUUGUUGAGGACACAGCCAAAGUUGGAAAGUGAGAAUUGUAUUGUCACCAAUACAGUUCUUUGCUCUAGCCUUGCUCUAGCAGUGCUCAGCAGUGGAGCACAGCACAUUAUGGCCUUGAGCUCAGGUUUGAGGUGAAAUGAAUGAGUGUCUCGGAACGAUGGGGCUCCAGGGCAUUGAAGGAUGCUGUUGAGAGAGUUGUUCUGGUGGUUACAAUGGGGUAUAACCUGAAGAGAGAGGAGAGGGUAUAGGAAAUGAACGGAUCAGGGAGCUAGACAGUGUUUUUCACACUUCCUACAUAGCCGUUACCUGGAGAGCUUUGAAAAAAUACUG